UACGUAGGGGGCAAGCGUUGUCCGGAUUUAUUGGGCGUAAAGAGCGUGUAGGCGGCCAUACAGGUCCGUUGUGAAAACUCGAGGCUCAACCUCGAGACGUCGAUGGAACCGUAUGGCUAGAGUCCGGAAGAGGAGAGUGGAAUUCCUGGUGUAGCGGUGAAAUGCGCAGAGUAUCAGGAAGAACACCCGUGGCGAAGGCGGCUCUCUGGGACGGUACUGACGCUGAGACGCGAAAGCGUGGGGAGCGAACAGG
rnacentral:rRNA from 1 species